GAACCCCCAAAGACACACGUGACCCACCACCCCCUCUCUGACCAUGAGGCCACCCUGAGGUGCUGGGCCCUGGGCUUCUACCCUGCGGAGAUCACACUGACCUGGCAGCGGGAUGGGGAGGACCAGACCCAGGACACCGAGCUUGUGGAGACCAGGCCAGCAGGAGAUGGAACCUUCCAGAAGUGGGCAGCUGUGGUGGUGCCUUCUGGACAAGAGCAGAGAUACACGUGCCAUAUGCAGCACGAGGGGCUGCAAGAGCCCCUCACCCUGAGCUGGGCCAUCUUCCCAGCCCACCAUCCCCAUCAUGGGCAUCGUUGCUGGCCUGGCUGUCCUGGUUGUCCUAGCUGUCCUUGGAGCUGUGGUCACCGCUAUGAUGUGUAGGAGGAAGAGCUCAGGUGGAAAAGGAGGGAGCUGCUCUCAGGCUGCGUGCAGCAACAGUGCCCAGGGCUCUGAUGAGUCUCUCAUCACUUGUAAAGCCUGAGACAGCUGCCUGUGUGGGACUGAGAUGCAGGAUUUCUUCACACCUCUCCUUUGUGACUUCAAGAGCCUCUGGCAUCUCUUUCUGCAAAGGCACCUGAAUGUGUCUGCGUUCCUGUUAGCAUAAUGUGAGGAGGUGGAGAGACAGCCCACCCCCGUGUCCACCGUGACCCCUGUCCCCACACUGACCUGUGUUCCCUCCCCGAUCAUCUUUCCUGUUCCAGAGAGGUGGGGCUGGAUGUCUCCAUCUCUGUCUCAAAUUCAUGGUGCACUGAGCUGCAACUUCUUACUUCCCUAAUGAAGUUAAGAACCUGAAUAUAAAUUUGUGUUCUCAAAUAUUUGCUAUGAAGCGUUGAUGGAUUAAUUAAAUAAGUCAAUUCCUAGAAGUUGAGAGAGCAAAUAAAGACCUGAGAACCUUCC
rnacentral:lncRNA from 1 species